GUGCCAGCAGCGGCGGUAAUACGUAGGGUGCAAGCGUUAUCCGGAAUUAUUGGGCGUAAAGAGCUCGUAGGCGGUUUGUCGCGUCUGCUGUGAAAACCCGAGGCUCAACCUCGGGCCUGCAGUGGGUACGGGCAGACUAGAGUGCGGUAGGGGAGAUUGGAAUUCCUGGUGUAGCGGUGGAAUGCGCAGAUAUCAGGAGGAACACCGAUGGCGAAGGCAGAUCUCUGGGCCGUAACUGACGCUGAGGAGCGAAAGCGUGGGAGCGAACAGGAUAGAUACCCUGGUAGUCCACGCCGUAAACGGUUGGACGCUAGAUGGUGGGACCAUUCCGCGGUUUCCGUGUCGCAGCUACGCAUUAA
rnacentral:rRNA from 1 species